rnacentral:misc_RNA from 1 species
CAGAGUUGCAAGACUCCCUAAACCAUUGUGAACCUACCUUCUACCGUUGCUUCGGCGGGCGGGCCCAGCGCCCCCCCGGCCCCCGCGGGCGCCCGCCGGAGGAUACCCAAACUCUUUGACAUUAGUGGCCUCUCUGAGUAUUCUUUAAUGCAUUAUAGUAU